UGACUGUUGCUACUGAGGAUCAAGGGACUUUGUGCAGUCAUAUCAAGUCCUGUCGAUUUCACGUCAGCUAUGGACAACAGACCAUAGGAAGUUAACACUAACGGGAACAGCAAAAGAAGACAGACUAACAAGUGAUACCGAAACGCUGGCAGCCAGACCGUCAAUGAGUAGGCGAGUGGCUGUAGUGCUUCGUGGUCCUCUUCCAAUCAGAAGGUUGUGGGUUCGAUCCCAGCUCCUGCAGUCAACAUGGCGAUAUAUCCUUGUGCAAGGCACAAAGCCUUGGGGGGAAUACCAAGCAGCUCAGCUAAGCCCCCCCCUGCAGGAGACAAAGACACAGCUCUUCAAAGCAGCGCCGGGCCUUUGCACAGCUAACAGCAGCCAGCGCUCUAAACGUGACAGUGUUUGAGAAUACUUUGCACCUCUAAAGCCUGAAGAUAUCCCACACUGCUCAACGCCAACAGAAGGGACAAUUGUGAAGAUGCACUCGUAUGAGCUUAUUUUCAUUUUAUCUUUUUGUUUUGUCCCAGACGUCUGUAAUGUGUUGUCUUGCAUUUCUCUUCUACUCUAUUCCUGACCAUUGGUUUUUUUUCACGUGUUGCUCCACAUACCACUCAAUUUGUGUGUAUGUAGUUGUAUGCACUUGUACUUGUAUUUCAAUAUAUAUAUAUAAUAUAUUUAACUUAUUUUGUUAAUGAUUUUUCUUUAUCUCUCUCUCUUUCUUUACAUACAUACUUUUUUUUAGAUUCCUUAUAAUCCAGGGAAAAUGAGAUUUGUUCAAAAAUAUUUUUGAGGGAAAUGAAGACAAUGUAAAUGAA